GUCUCCAGCCACGCCACCCUGACCGAGUCGGAUCCCAGCUGAUCUCGGAAGCUAAGCAGGGUCGGGCCUGGUUAGUACUUGGAUGGGAGACCACCCAGGAAGACCAGGUGCUGUAGGCG
rnacentral:rRNA from 1 species